rnacentral:rRNA from 1 species
GAUGAACGCUGGCGGCGUGCCUAAUACAUGCAAGUCGAGCGAACAGAUGAGGAGCUUGCUCCUCUGACGUUAGCGGCGGACGGGUGAGUAACACGUGGAUAACCUACCUAUAAGACUGGGAUAACUUCGGGAAACCGGCGCUAAUACCGGAUAAUAUAUUGAACCGCAUGGUUCAAUAGUGAAAGACGGUUUUGCUGUCACUUAUAGAUUGAUCCGCGCCGCAUUAGCUAGUUGGUAAGGUAACGGCUUACGAAGGCAACGAUUCGUAGCCGACCUGGGAGGGUGAUCGGCCACACUGGAACUUGUACACGGUCCAGACUCCUACGGUAGGCAGCAGUAGGGAAUCUUCCGCAAUGGGCGAAAGCCUUACGGAGCGGCGCCGCGUGAGUGAUGAAGGUCUUCGGAUCGUAAAACUGGGUUAUUAGGGAAGAACAAAUGUGUAAGUAACUAUGCACGUCGUGACGGUACCUAAUCAGAAAGCCCCGGCUAACUACGUG